rnacentral:lncRNA from 1 species
CUGUCCAUAGCUCCUGCUCAUCCUCCGUGCCCCGGGCACAUGUGGCUUUAUGUUGCGGAGGGAGCUGUCGUCAAGCAAUCUGGAAACUCAGAUUUUGUGACAAGAAAACCUUUUCAACCAAACACGUAAAUGGAAAAGCCACAAAUGUUGAAAAGCAACAGAACUGUUCUAAAUAAUGGAGUUAGCGGUCCUUUAUGAAUGCAUACAUCUCGGUUCUGCAUUGGGGACAGAUGUUUGGAGAGCUGUCUUUAUUUUUGGCUUAAUCCCACCUCAAAACCAUCACCACAUGGAGGAACAUCCUAAGGCACCUGAAGCCUCCCUACGGUUCCGAGCUGAGGCUGUGCUUGUCGUAGUCUCAGGAGUGGCACAGAGGCCCACGCCAUGACGAGGGCAGGGCCCGGAGCAGAUUCAGACGCUCAGGGUCUGUUUUCCACCCUCAGCCUGCUCCUGGCAGUGUCUUGGGUCAAGGGGAGCAAGCACCCUGCAUACUCAGAGACCUGACGCAGACCUGCAGAGAAGGACCCUGACCCAGACCCAGCCAGUCAUGGAUUCACCCAGGAGGUGAUGGGCUGUGACAGAGUGCUGUAAGAUACUGACCAGCUUCUGCCAAACCUGGUGAGAGAAGUUCCAUCUCGCUUCCCU